AAAAAGGAAGGGAGUAGAAGAAUUACGUAGAUUUUUCCAACUGCCAGAACGAGGGAAUUAAGUGGAGUGAAAGGUCUGCAACCGAUCAAGACUAAAGUGAGGACAAAAUCCGAUGGCGACGGCGAAGGCCGGAGGUAUUACAGUCAAAUGAGAAUGAAGUUUGGUAUUUAUUUUCAAAUAACGGGAAGCACUUGGCUUCAGCAUCGAAAGAUUGCACUAUAAUGAUUUGGGAGGUAGCCAAGUAUGGUGUCGUGUCAAUAAAAUGUAGACCGGCUGAACACUGUAAACCAGUUCCAUUUGUUGCUUGGAGCCCUGAUGCCAAGUAUUGCUUACUUGAGGUAUUGAGGAGUUUGUCAAGCUUUGGAAUGUUGAUAUUGGAGAUUGCAAGUGGACAUAUGAUAAAGCCAGCAGCGGUUUCACUUCCUGUGGGUGGUUUCCAGAUGGUACAUGUGUAAGCUGUGGUGGUGUUGAUAAAUGCAUCUAUAUAUUGGAUCUAGAAGGAAAGGAACUGGAUUCAUGGAAAGGACAGCAAAUGCCAAAGAUUUCUGAUUUGGCUGUCACAUGUGAGGAAAACAAAUAAUCAGCACCUGUGGGGAGAAUAUGAUUAUGAUGUACAUUUGGAUACCAAAACUGUGAGACUAAUUGAAGAGGACAAAUCGAUAACUUCUUUAUGUGUUUCCAAGGACAGUAGGUUUCUCCUUGUAAACCUAGCGAACCAAGAGAUUCACCUAUAGGAUAUUACGGCUGAUUCAAAGCUAUUAUUGAAGUAUGAAUGCCACAAGCAAGGUUGCUAUGUUAUUAGGUUCUGCUUUGGUGGAUCUAAUAAUGCCUUUGUUCUCAGUGGUCUAAAUAUGGCAUCAAGGUAAUGGUCAGCUUUUAGCAGUUUUGCCUGGUCACUCAGGUACUGUAAACUGUGUGAGCUGGAAUCCUGUGAACCCACACAUGUUUGCAUCUGCUAGUGAUGAUUACACUGUACGCAUAUGGGGAGUUGACAAAAACAUUUUGAAGAGUAAGAGUACCAACUUUAGCAAUGGAGUAGUUCACAUUGCAAAUGGAAGGCCAAAGAAGCAAAUGAGAGGGCAUUGAAUGCAAUCAUUGAAUGCAAUCACCAAUUGUCUGGGAGUUCCUGAAACUAUGGUUUAAGAAGCAAAGCUGCUCUUCCUUAAGAUGCACAGAAGAAUCGUUAGAUCAUUCCCAAAACAUACAUAAAAAUCCUUUGAAAAGAUGAAUUCUAAUUUUCAGGUCACAAGUUUCUAAAAUGUCUGGUCACAAUUUAGGUUUGUUACUGGCUUACUGCCCUUGCGAAAUCGGGGGAAGCUUUUCCUUGUUGACAUUAGUAUCUCAGGUAAUAAGGCUCAUAUAGGGCUCUUCUGCACAUUGGUAAUUUCUUCAUGCAAGGGAUGCUGAAAUGUUAGAAUUAUUGUUUUCUGUUCGGGCUAUUUCUUCAUGAGAGAAAUGUUACAAAAACUAAGGCUCUCUCAAUCUGAGAAGUGGGCCUGAGUGAUUUCUGAAGACAGGAAAUCUUGUGGCACAAAGAUUGUGUUUCCAAAUUCAACAAGAUAAUGUGAAACAUUGUUACCA